GAUGAACGCUAGCUACAGGCUUAACACAUGCAAGUCGAGGGGAAACGACAUCGAAAGCUUGCUUUUGAUGGGCGUCGACCGGCGCACGGGUGAGUAACGCGUAUCCAACCUGCCCAUCACUUGGGAAUAACCUUGCGAAAGUAAGACUAAUACCCAAUGACAUCCCACGAAGACAUCUGAAUGGGAUUAAAGAUUUAUCGGUGAUGGAUGGGGAUGCGUCUGAUUAGCUUGUUGGCGGGGUAACGGCCCACCAAGGCAACGAUCAGUAGGGGUUCUGAGAGGAAGGUCCCCCACAUUGGAACUGAGACACGGUCCAAACUCCUACGGGAGGCAGCAGUGAGGAAUAUUGGUCAAUGGGCGAGAGCCUGAACCAGCCAAGUAGCGUGCAGGAUGACGGCCCUAUGGGUUGUAAACUGCUUUUAUAAGGGAAUAAAGUGGGUCUCGUGAGACUUUUUGCAUGUACCUUAUGAAUAAGGACCAGCUAAUUCCGUG
rnacentral:rRNA from 1 species